CCUACGGGCGGCAGCAAGGAACGCUCUGGAUCGCGCCGACGUUGAUCCUAAGCGAAUAGGAGCCAUCUAUACGGGCUCGGAGAGCCAUCCAUAUGCGGUCAAGCCUACGGGGACCAUCGUCGGCCAGGCGGUAUGCACCUCAUCCUCCUUCACCACUGCGGAUUUUGAGUUCGCUUGCAAGGCGGGGACCGCGGCGAUUCAGGCCUGCCUGGGCCUGGUAGGCUCCGAUAUGAUCGAUCUGGGUUUGGCCAUCGGCGCAGACGUCAGCCAGGGAGCGCCAGGUGAUAUGCUGGAGUACACCGCAGCUGCCGGAGGAGCGGCUUAUUUGAUCGGAAAGAGGGAUCUGGCGGCACAGAUCGAGGGCUUUUAUUCCUUCACCACCGAUACCCGGGUAGUC
rnacentral:rRNA from 1 species